rnacentral:antisense_RNA from 1 species
UGUAGGAGUGAGCCUGCUCGCGAAAGCGCUUUUACAUUCAACAUUAUCGUUGACUGGUAUACCGCUAUCGCGAGCAGGCUCACUCCUACA